ACGCCCUCCUCCGCUGCAUCCUACUUCCUUCGCCGCCACCCUGCGCACAAGGUCGCCAGAUCCGGGCACGGGCUCACCGGAUCCGGGCGCGGGCUCGCCGGAUCCUGCGGCGACGGGGAGCAGCGCUCCUCUUUGCAUCUGGCGGCGGCGGGGAACAGUGGUGUCAUCGGCGGCGCUCCUCUUCGCAUCUGGCGGCGGCGGGGAGCAGCGGUGGCGGCGGUGAGCAGCGA
rnacentral:misc_RNA from 1 species